GACGAACGCUGGCGGCGUGCUUAACACAUGCAAGUCGAACGGAAAGGCCCUGCUUUUGUGGGGUGCUCGAGUGGCGAACGGGUGAGUAACACGUGAGUAACCUGCCCUUGACUUUGGGAUAACUUCAGGAAACUGGGGCUAAUACCGGAUAGGAGCUCCUGCUGCAUGGGGGGGGUUGGAAAGGUUCGGCGGUUGGGGAUGGGCUCGCGGCUUAUCAGCUUGUUGGGGGGGUGGUGGCUUACCAAGGCUUUGACGGGUAGCCGGCCUGAGGGGGUGACCGGCCACAUGGAGACUGAGAUGCGGCAGAGGCGCCGACGGGAGGAGGCAGUGGGGAAGAUUGCAGAAGGGGCGGAGGCCUGAUGCAGCAGCGCCGCGGGUGGGAUGACGCCCUUGGGGUUGAAGACCGCUUGCCCCGGUGACGAGGGGGGAGUGAGGAGAAGGAGAAAAGAAGCCCGCGCUAACUACG
rnacentral:rRNA from 1 species